rnacentral:rRNA from 1 species
GACCCGCGGCGCAUUAGCUAGUUGGUAAGGUAACGGCUUACCAAGGCAACGAUGCGUAGCCGACCUGAGAGGGUGAUCGGCCACAUUGGAACUGAGACACGGUCCAGACUCCUACGGGAGGCAGCAGGGGGGAAUAUUGCGCAAUGGGGGAAACCCUGACGCAGCAACGCCGCGUGGGUGAUGAAGGUCUUCGGAUUGUAAAGCCCUGUUUUCU